ACUCUUCCGAAGCUGACGGAAAAGCCCUCUGGUUCCUCUUUCGGACUCCAAGGACUUCAGAUGCCUGCUGCUAAGAAAAGAGAGGGGCUGACAUCACCAGAAGAAAGAUGUAAGGGGUUCUCUCCGCCUCGUGGGACUGUCGAGGUAAAGGCGCGCAGAGCACUGAGCCCUCUCUGGCCUAGAGAAACCCGCUCCCUGGCCCAAGGAAUGGUUUCCGGACCCUCUGUCCUCUAGGAACCACGCUGGAUGUGGAACACCGGGGGUCUGAGCCCCAGAAGUAAAGGACCGACUGGGGGUGGGGGGAUGCAUAGGGGGUUAGAGCACCAGGACCUGACCCCGCCACCCCACCCUCCAGCUUCAGGACCGUUCAGAACCAGUCCUGGCCUUAGCCAGGUAGCUGCUAACCUGGUGGGCCCAGAAAGGUCUGGGGCUCCCCACCCCCAUGCCUGCCUGGUAGUGGGGGAAGGGAUGGGCCUUUGUUCCCCCUGCAAGACCCCCACCUGCCCUGGACUCUCAGGCCCCUCCCAUGUCCCAUCCGGCCGGGAGUCUUGGCUGCUUCUGAUAAUUGCGGGCUGGGCAAUGCGGGGCGCUUCAGGCAGUGCUUACCUUCCCUGAGCCCUGCCCUGGGACACCGGGACCUACCGUCGGUAGCCAACCUCGGAGAAACAGGCUGCUCCCGCGCGGGGCCGAGGGUGCUUGCAGAGCCGGGUGUUAGGACAGGCGGUGGCUUACCUCGGGUUCACGGUGCGAAGGUUGGAGUGCAGAGGGCUCUUUGUGCCCCUGCUCACAGCGCAGAAGUGGGGGAGCCCUUGCAAGCGCCUCCCCUCGCAAACUCCUCCCCGCACUCGUCCGCAGCCUCCCUCCCUCUGGUCCCCCGAGUGCAGCCGGCGUCGUCUUUGUAGCUGCUGCAGCGCCCAUGAAAUUUUAAUGCGGGAGCGGCUGGCGGGCGGACGGAGGAGCCCCACCCCCAGCCCUUGCCUCUGCCCUCCUCCAGCCUCCCUGAACCCCCGCAACCCCACACUCUGCCCCCUUACUCUCGCCCCAGAGUCAGGACCCUCUAGGCGAGGUUAAGCCAGGAAUGGGGGGAGUGCACCGGUGCCUCCGAGGCACAAAGGGGCGAGCUGGGCUGUGCGCUCAUCCUCCAGCAUCCCCGCCCGCGGCGCUGCCAUGGCAACGCUUGCAGGCUGGACUGGCGUGGAGAGCUUUGACUGAAGAGGUGAGCGCAGGUGGGACUGGGAUGGAGCUGGGGUGGAAGCCUGAACCCCAGCGUAGGAGAAAAGACGCGUCUUGGAAUACCAGGUUCUUAACCCACAAGGCUUUGGGUGUAGCUGCUCAAGGAACCUUGCCAAAGGUGCACAAUGUGGAGUCAAAAUUUGAAUCCAGAUCUGUGAUACACUUGCCUCUGCACACACCCCCAGUCCUAAGAACACGUAUGGGGGAGCCUUCUCCUUAGUUGCCUGCAGGUCACUGAGCUACAACACACUGUUAUCCUCUAGGACCUGACUGUCCUGGGUUCAAGUUUAGCUCUGUCCAUGCUGAUGACCAUCAGCCUACACGCCCUCUGAGACUGUGCUGUGUCCCAUCAAGUAGGUGAUAAUGGAAUCCACAUUGUGUGGGUUCCAUGAGGGAGGGUAUUUUGCACAAAACCUGGCACUUAAUAAAGGCUCAGUGCAUAUUUUUAUUAACA